CCUACGGGAGGCUGCAGUGGGGAAUAUUGCACAAUGGGGGGAACCCUGAUGCAGCGACGCCGCGUGGGUGAAGGAGUAUUUCGGUAUGUAAAGCCCUAUCAGCAGGGAAGAACAAUGACGGUACCUGACUAAGAAGCACCGGCUAAAUACGUGCCAGCAGCCGCGGUAAUACGUAUGGUGCAAGCGUUAUCCGGAUUUACUGGGUGUAAAGGGAGCGCAGGCGGCGCGUUAAGCCUGGUGUGAAAGUCCGCGGCCCAACCGCGGGACUGCAUUGGGAACUGGCGCGCUUGAGUGCCGGAGGGGUAGGCGGAAUUCCUAGUGUAGCGGUGAAAUGCGUAGAUAUUAGGAGGAACACCAGUGGCGAAGGCGGCCUACUGGACGGUGACUGACGCUGAGGCUCGAAAGCGUGGGGAGCAAACAGGAUUAGAUACCCUUGUAGUC
rnacentral:rRNA from 1 species